rnacentral:rRNA from 2 species
UGCAAGUCGAACGAUGAUCCGGUGCUUGCACCGGGGAUUAGUGGCGAACGGGUGAGUAACACGUGAGUAACCUGCCCUUAACUCUGGGAUAAGCCUGGGAAACUGGGUCUAAUACCGGAUAUGACCUUCCAUCGCAUGGUGGUUGGUGGAAAGCUUUUUGUGGUUUUGGAUGGACUCGCGGCCUAUCAGCUUGUUGGUGAGGUAAUGGCUUACCAAGGCGACGACGGGUAGCCGGCCUGAGAGGGUGACCGGCCACACUGGGACUGAGACACGGCCCAGACUCCUACGGGAGGCAGCAGUGGGGAAUAUUGCACAAUGGGCGCAAGCCUGAUGCAGCGACGCCGCGUGAGGGAUGACGGCCUUCGGGUUGUAAACCUCUUUCAGUAGGGAAGAAGCGAAAGUGACGGUACCUGCAGAAGAAGCGCCGGCUAACUACGUGCCAGCAGCCGCGGUAAUACGUAGGGCGCAAGCGUUAUCCGGAAUUAUUGGGCGUAAAGAGCUCGUAGGCGGUUUGUCGCGUCUGCCGUGAAAGUCCGGGGCUCAACUCCGGAUCUGCGGUGGGUACGGGCAGACUAGAGUGAUGUAGGGGAGACUGGAAUUCCUGGUGUAGCGGUGAAAUGCGCAGAUAUCAGGAGGAACACCGAUGGCGAAGGCAGGUCUCUGGGCAUUAACUGACGCUGAGGAGCGAAAGCAUGGGGAGCGAACAGGAUUAGAUACCCUGGUAGUCCAUGCCGUAAACGUUGGGCACUAGGUGUGGGGGACAUUCCACGUUUUCCGCGCCGUAGCUAACGCAUUAAGUGCCCCGCCUGGGGAGUACGGCCGCAAGGCUAAAACUCAAAGGAAUUGACGGGGGCCCACACAAGCGGCGGACAUGCGGAUUAAUUCGAUGCAACGCG